GUUACCACCGUGCAGGCCGCCGGGGGAAUACGUGGGUGGCGAGCGUUUUCCGGAAUUACGGGGCGUAAAGGAUGCGUAGGUGGAUACUUAAGUGGGAUGUGAAAUCCCCGGGCUCAACCCGGGAACUGCAUUCCAAACUGGGUAUCUAGAGUGCAGGAGAGGAAAGCGGAAUUCCUAGUGUAGCGGUGAAAUGCGUAGAUAUUAGGAGGAACACCAGUGGCGAAGGCGGCUUUCUGGACUGUAACUGACACUGAGGCAUGAAAGCGUGGGUAGCAAACAGGAUUAGAUACCCUAGUAGUC
rnacentral:rRNA from 1 species